rnacentral:misc_RNA from 1 species
GCAAACUUGGUCAUUUAGAGGAAGUAAAAGUCGUAACAAGGUUUCCGUAGGUGAACCUGCGGAAGGAUCAUUACAGUGCUCGUCGGGACGUCGCGCCCCCUUUAGGCGUGGGCGUCUCGCACCUGCCCAACCGUGUCUACCGUUUCCCUUGUUGCCUCGGCGGGACCGCCGGGCAGGAGGCCGCCUCACCGUGGGCGGGGCUCCUGCGCACGGCACCCCGCGUCACCCGACGCGGCGCCCGCCAGAGGGACCCUUCUGAAACCUGUUGAAUCUAGUGUCGUCUGAGUUGCCUAGUGAAAUACAGUUAAAACUUUCAACAACGGAUCUCUUGGUUCUGGCAUCGAUGAAGAACGCAGC